UGAGGAAUCUUGGACAAUGGGGGCAACCCUGAUCCAGCGACGCCGCGUGAAGGAUGAAGGUCUUCGGAUUGUAAACUUCUUUUAUCUGGGAAUAAGAAAUCUUUAGAAAUAGAGAGAGUGAAUGUACCAGAUGAAUAAGCCACGGCUAACUUCGUGCCAGCAGCCGCGGUAAUACGAAGGUGGCGAGCGUUACUCGGAAUUACUAGGCGUAAAGGGCAGGUAGGUGGUUUGAUAAGUCUGUUGUGUAAGCUCCUGGCUUAACUGGGAGAGGUCAACGGAAACUAUCAGGCUUGAGUAUAGGAGAGGGUACUGGAAUUCCCGGUGUAGCGGUGAAAUGCGCAGAUAUCGGGAGGAACAUCAAUGGCGAAGGCAGGUACCUGGACUAUUACUGACACUCAGCUGCGAAAGCUAGGGGAGCAAACAG
rnacentral:rRNA from 1 species